UACGUAGGGUGCAAGCGUUGUCCGGAAUUAUUGGGCGUAAAGAGCUCGUAGGCGGUCUGUCGCGUCUGCUGUGAAAAUCCAGGGCUCAACCCUGGACCUGCAGUGGGUACGGGCAGACUAGAGUGCGGUAGGGGAGAUCGGAAUUCCUGGUGUAGCGGUGAAAUGCGCAGAUAUCAGGAGGAACACCGGUGGCGAAGGCGGGUCUCUGGGCCGGAACUGACGCUAAGGAGCGAAAGCGUGGGGAGCGAACAGG
rnacentral:rRNA from 1 species